rnacentral:rRNA from 1 species
GAUGAACGCUGACAGAAUGCUUAACACAUCAGCAAUUGAUUGGUGGCGGACGGGUGAGUAACGCGUAAAGAACUUGCCUCACAGGUAGGGACAACAUUUGGAAACGAAUGCUACUACCUAAUACUGUGAGAGAGCUUUGCGUCCCAUUAGCUAGUUGGAGAGGUAACGGCUCACCAAGGCGAGGAUGGGUAGCCGGCCUGAGAGGGUGAUCGGCCACAAGGGGACUGGGACACGGCACUUACGACUACGGGAGGCAGCAGGGGGGAAUGAUGGACAAUGGACCAAAGUCUGUUCCGGCAAUUCGGUGUGAACGAUGAGGUUUUCGGAAUGUAAGGUGCUUUCAGUUGGGAAGCGGUACCAACAGAAGAAGUGACGGCUAAAUACGUGCCAGCAGCCGCGGUAAUUC